UACGGGGGGGGCAAGCGUUGUUCGGAAUUACUGGGCGUAAAGGGCUCGUAGGCGGCCAACUAAGUCAGACGUGAAAUCCCUCGGCUUAACCGGGGAACUGCGUCUGAUACUGGAUGGCUUGAGUUCGGGAGAGGGAUGCGGAAUUCCAGGUGUAGCGGUGAAAUGCGUAGAUAUCUGGAGGAACACCGGUGGCGAAGGCGGGUCUCUGGGCCGAUACUGACGCUGAGGCGCGAAAGCGUGGGGAGCAAACAGG
rnacentral:rRNA from 1 species